rnacentral:lncRNA from 1 species
AGUCCUCAUGGAGUCACUAUUCGCAGCAGUUGGCCCUGGAUUAAUUAGCCUCCCCUUCUCUUUUAGUGUGGCUUACUUUGCAUAAAUGUGAAGUGAGGAGCGGAGCCAUGAUUGCCACCUUUGGUUCGAGGAAAAUCAGGUUUAUCAGCCUAUUUAACGUAUAAAUCGUCGAACAAGAAAUGGUCUGGGCGAUGGCCCCAGACCAUUAUAGUCUCCCAGCCUGGACUACCUCGCAGGGUUGCAGAGAGCGUAUAAAGCAGGGAGAGGAGGAGGAGGGGAGCCACAUUAUUGGAGGAAAGACGGGGUAUAAUUAAAGCCAGUAAGUGUAAACCUAUAAAUGGUGUUAGAAAUGCUUUUAAUUACCAGACAAGUGGGCAUUAAGGAACAGGGUUCAGAUCUCUCUGAGAGCCGUGCAGGUUCCUCCCGAGGAGAGCAGGUUCAAGGCUGCAGGACGAGUAUAUGAAUACACGGAGCACCAACAAGUUGCUGGAAGAGAAACUUCAGAUUAUUGCUCAGAGCAUGGCCGACGAGAGGCUGAAUUUGAACCAGCGGAUCAAUGAGCUACUGGAGCGACUUCUCAGCGCACAAGACACCAUUUCCACCUUGGAGAAAAUUAACGUGAGUCCUUGCAGCUGAAGGGGGGGGGGUGGCGGCUGGAGGCGAUGGAAGAGAGACCCUCUAGACCAGCAGUUGGGUGAAGGAACCAAGAUGGAAUAGGAGCUAAGCCUAAGUGCAUCACUGUGAUAAGCAGGAUAUGGAAGGGGAAAGAAUCAAGAGAAAAAAGGGCUCUUGCACUUUUAGUUUUAGCAGGGUAGCUUGCUGCUAAAGGUGCAAAAGCCUUACUUUCUUUUGCACCUGGCUCUCCCCAGCAGGGAAAGCUUCACAUCUUCCCCUGCUGGCAACAUUCUAGGUCUGCCCUAAAACAAAUUCACUCAACUCUUCUGACUCUGCUCAUUUUUUAAAAAACUCUCUGCUUGCCUCGUAGUGAAAUAACUUGAAUUUCGCCCCUGGAUCUCCAAUUCAAAUUGGUUUGAAAUUAAUUAAGACUUCAAGGCAGCUAUGAAUUUGAAUUAACUGGCCACACAGAGAGAGGAGGAAAUUGGUUGGAUAGCCUUGUUUGCAGCUUGUUAACCUGCCUCUCUUGUAUCCCUGCGGGAAGCUCCUGAGAAGCUGUAAAGAAUGCUGAUCUGAUUUCCUCUCCUUGUUUCCUUUUUCUCUUUCUCUAAGUCCUUCCCCCACUUUGUUUAGAUGCCC